GACCGCGUAGCUCAGUUGGAAGAGCAUUGGGCUAGUAUUCCAAAGGUCGUAGGUUCAAAUCCUACCGUGGCCG
rnacentral:tRNA from 1 species